rnacentral:tRNA from 1 species
GGUUUGUGGCUCAGUGGUAGAGUGCUUGCCUAGCAUGUGUGAGGCACUGGGUUCAAUUCUCAGAACUA